AGCGAACGCUGGCGGCAGGCUUAACACAUGCAAGUCGAACGCCCCGCAAGGGGAGUGGCAGACGGGUGAGUAACACGUGGGAACGUACCCUUUGGUUCGGAAUAACUUGGGGAAACUCAAGCUAAUACCAGAUAAGCCCUUAUGGGGAAAGGUUUACUGCCGAAGGAUCGGCCCGCGUCUGAUUAGCUAGUUGGUGAGGUAAUGGCUCACCAAGGCGACGAUCAGUAGCUGGUCUGAGAGGAUGAUCAGCCACACUGGGACUGAGACACGGCCAAGACUCCUACGGGAGGCAGCGGUGGGGAAUAUUGGACAAGGGGGGCAACCCUGACCCAGCCAUGCCGCGUGGGUGAUGAAGGCCUGAGGGUUGUAAAGCUCUUUUACCCGGGACGAUAAUGCCGGAACCGGGAGAAUAGGCCCCGGCUAACUUCGUGCCAGCCGCCGCGGAAA
rnacentral:rRNA from 1 species